AACGCAUAUUGCACUAUUCGGCUUCCCCGGAUAGUAUGCCUGGUUGAGUGUCUGUGUAUCUCUCCUAUUUCAAUUUAUUUUGAAUAUAGGGACUUGGGGUCUUUUCUCGUCGGAAAUCAUCUAUUCUCGUAAUAGCUGACCAACCCGGUGAACCCUUUAAAUAUAGCAAGCUCCCAUCUAUCUUUUGGAAAUACGCAAAAACAAAACUUGGGGAUGGCGUCGUAGCAAUCACUCUUACGGUAUUGUCGAAGCGCCUAUACGUACCUCAAAUAUAUAGUCUUUUGCGGUGUUAAUCCAGAUUGUGGGCGAAGCUUGGCGACUGGCAAAGUGCCAUGCUCCCUUUUGUUUACAUUUUACGAUGUAAUGGAGUACACGAACAAUAAUGACCUCAACUCAGGUAGGACAACCCGCUGGACUUAA
rnacentral:misc_RNA from 1 species